GAGAAAGUGUUGGAAUUCAAGGAUUUGAUCAAGCAAAGGUGGUGAGCCAUUGGAUAUGGGUAAAGGACUAUACCCGCAGACUGAAAAUAUGAGUAUUUCUACUCCUAAUACUGCUCAGGACAGUUUGUUGAUAGUUGGUUAAGACGAGAA